GGAUUGUAGUCUGNAACCGACUACAUGAAGCUGGAAUCGCUAGUAAUCGCGGAUCAGAAUGCCGCGGUGAAUACGUUCCCGGGUCUAGUACACACCGCCCGUCACACCAUGGGAGUCGGAAAUGCCCGAAGUCAGUGACCCAACCGCAAGGAGGGAGCUGCCGAAGGUGGAGCCGGUAACUGGGGUGAAGUCGUAACAAGGUAUC
rnacentral:rRNA from 1 species